UACUCGAAUUCGAAAAUAAAAACCUCAGAACAAUGCUUGUCAUUGUUCUGAGAUAAAAUAUAUCAAAAAAUUAUUGAAUAAAAUAAUAAGUCAAUUGUGGUUAACUAUCAACAUCAAAACCAUAAUGUAACAGAAAUAACAAUCUUAAGAAAACCGUUAACAUAAAAUCAUAACAAAAUGGAAGAAACGUGCCAAAAUAAUCAUAGUACAUUAUCAAGCUCGAGAAAAGGAUCAAAAAAGAAAUAUUCUGAAGCCCGAAAAGUUCAUAGUAAAUUAUGUUGUGUUUGCCGAAAAAUACCAUCCCAUGUGCGAACCUACUACGGACGUUUGUUCUGCAUUGAUUGUUUUCACAAAUACAUCUGGACAGUUCCUAGUAAAGAUUCAUUGUGUAUCAACAAAGAUUGAGAGUAUAAAAAGUGAAAAAUUUACGAAAACAUAUUUGCAAUAAGAAAUUGUAACUUUUAUGAGUGGUCCAUGUUGAUAUUUAAGAAAAUGAUAAUAUAAACUCUUUUAUAAACCCCAA